ACGAUUUGAUCGGGAGAGACAGAAAGGGAGAGGUGUGCGAUCGACGAUUCGACGGCGAAAUCAAAAUCCCUCUGCGACUGCUUUUCCCAAAUUACAUGGCAUAUCAAAUAUUAAAGCUUUCAUUAUCUUUUUCCUUUGGUAAGCCUUCCAAUUCUCUAUUUUCCCACUUUAAUAAUUUCGAUUAUAUUAAGAGAUAUUUAGUGAUAUACCCAUUUCUAACACUAAUAUUAUAAAUAAACCCUACACAAUUGAAUUCCUAUAAACAAACCCAAAAAAAACCCAAAAAAUGAUAGCUAGCCUUAUUGAAUUUAAUAUUGAUUAUUAAAUUACUUUGAUGCCCUAUUGAGUGCUUUGGGUAUUUUUAUGAGAUUUUGGGGUUGGGCUUGUUUUAAGAAAUUGAUGGCAGUUUUGUAAUUUAUAAGAAGUUAAAAGUUUUUUUGUUAUGUUGUAAAUGGGCUUUGGGUGUGUUUCUAAAGUCCAUUUUAUAUAGGGUAUUUUUAUAAUUUGGGCCCCCAUAUUGGGUAUAAUAGUGAAUCUCCCUUUUAUUAAUCUUAUGACCUAGAAACAGAGAGUAUUUUAAAAAAAUAAAAAGAAAAUUUUGAUUUCUGACAUUUUAGGAUCGUUGGAAGACAUCAAGCAGUGAAACUUAUAAUGAAAGAUUAAAACUUUAAUCUUCUAGCUAAAUGCAUCCAUUGAAUUUUAAAGAUAGGUUUAACUACGCAUGUUUGGAAUUUGAAGCAACUUAAAACCCAAUUUAUAUUUUUCAAAUUUUCAGUAAUAAAGAAACUAAUUCAGCCAGCGUUAGAAAUCAAAGGAAAUAUUCUUUUUAAUUAUGAAAAAAUGUUGUUGGGAAAUAAAAGAACUCAAGGAUUUUGAUAUUUAGUGAACGUAUAAUUGUAUAUGACAAUGUGUAUAAAAAUUUUGUUUGGUUAUUCGGUUGUAAUGUUUUGAUUAGUAGAAUUUUCAAAUAUCUGUGGAAGUGGGAAGUUGGUAAUUGACUUUUUAAUCUGUCAAUGUAGUUUGGAAGGAGUUUCUCGGGGGAGCGAUUGCUGGGUCAUGUGGGGAAGGAAUGAUGCAUCAGGUUGGCACCGUAAAGACACAUAUUCAGAGCAAGUUAUUCUUUGUGCAAGUCAGGUAUAGAGUAAAGAUGUUGUAGAUGUAGCAUUCAUGACUAAUGUGUAAUAAAGGUCAAUUUUUUGUUGGAUGGCUUUUAACUUCAUAUAAAUUGUAUGUAAGAAAGUAAAAUUUCAAGUAUUGGAUAUGGCAUUUUAUUUUCCUGCUUAAGGCUAGCUUACCUAUGAAGCCUGGUAUCCAAAUGUAUGGUGUUCCCUCCGCCUCCUUCCCUCUUCUCCCUAUUUUCAUUAUGAUGGAGAUCAGGCAAUUAAGAGUCUUGACCUCUGAAUUCUUAGUUUGAUCUUAUUGUAAAUUGCGUUUGAGAUUGAGGAUGCUAACAGUAUUUAGAUGGACAUCUUGUUUAUCGUCCUUGUAGCACUAUUUUCAUUAAUAAGAGCUCUGUUUCUUAUAAGAAAAGAGAAGUUAACUUAGUUUGAGUUUGUACUACAUGCAGUCCAGUUACACCAAGAGUACAGUAGUUCAGACAUACUUUCUUUUAUGAUUGGCAAAUGAUAUGCAGUUAGGAUUUAGGCCUCUAAAUGAUUUAGUUGUCAUUAUUCUGUUGCUUUUAACUUAAUUAGCUCUGGUUCUUAUUUCUUGUAUGCAGGUUAUUAUGAAGGCUUGAAAUUUUGCAGCAGUAUGGGAAGUAAAAAUCCACAGGCAAUCCCAAUUUCCAUAUUGAUAGUUCUGUUGAGGGACUCAUACUAGGAGGAUUGUCUGGUGGUAUGUACCUUGCUUAAACUUUGUCCUACUUGGUGCUGGUUUAAGUCUUGUAUAAUUGCAUUCAGCAUUUUCUGUAGGGUAAUUUAUACUUGCUUCGAAUUGGUCAGGCAUUAGUGCAAAUAUCUUACCAGUGCCUUCGAUGUGAUCAAAACAAGAUUGCAAGUGCAGGGUUCAACCUUGAGGUAUCAGUUCUAUAUGUGGUUUUUAAUUUUUAUUAUUUUUACUUUCAUAUAACUUUUAGUUAUUAGUGUAGGAACAAAAAAUUUUGUUGCAAGCAUCAUGUUGUGUUGUUAGAGUACUUAAUGUUAUCCGAGCAAGGCUUGGCAUUCAUAUUGUGUCAGCUGUUGUGUAUGUGAACGCUGACCACCUUGGUCCACAGACACAAACACCAUUUAUCCUUUGUGAUUAUUGAGGGGAUUUUACAAUGCUGUAGUUGUUUUAUCAAUGCACCAUUUUGGUUGAAUCUCAUAGCCAGAUAACAGAAUAUUUUAAAUAUUGGGUACAUAAUUGAUGGGCUAUAGUCAGAAAAUAUGUACUUUGGUAAAGUUUGCGUUGAUUGUUAUUCAAACUGAGCUUUCCUUUCGACCUGAUAUAUAUUUCAAACUCAUGGGAUGAAAGUUAGAUGUGAUAGAAGAACGAUUUUACGGUUUCCAUCUAAUGUUUGUUGUGAAUUUUAGGUACAAUGGCUGUUAUAUGCAAAGUAGCAUAAGGAUGGCUGACGAUGCACAGGAGGUUGCUCAGAGGUAGCAUUCCUAGGAUUGAGAAUAAUCCAGUUUCAGCUCUGACUUUUGUUGGUGUGGAAUUUCUAAGAGAGACCAUCUCAAAGAAGGAUUGAGCAAUGAUAACAGGCAAGAAGUUGCUGGCAUGUCGGUGGGAGUCAUCUGUACUGUGGAUGGCAUGAGAAACUUGCACUGAAUUUCUUUCCAAUCCCAUACAGGCAUUUUCAUGUAUCCAAUUAAUAAACGUUUAGUAAUGUUAU
rnacentral:lncRNA from 1 species